rnacentral:rRNA from 1 species
UACUCCUACGGGAGGCAGCAGUAGGGAAUCUUCGGCAAUGGACGGAAGUCUGACCGAGCAACGCCGCGUGAGUGAAGAAGGUUUUCGGAUCGUAAAGCUCUGUUGUAAGAGAAGAACGAGUGUGAGAGUGGAAAGUUCACACUGUGACGGUAUCUUACCAGAAAGGGACGGCUAACUACGUGCCAGCAGCCGCGGUAAUACGUAGGUCCCGAGCGUUGUCCGGAUUUAUUGGGCGUAAAGCGAGCGCAGGCGGUUAGAUAAGUCUGAAGUUAAAGGCUGUGGCUUAACCAUAGUACGCUUUGGAAACUGUUUAACUUGAGUGCAAGAGGGGAGAGUGGAAUUCCAUGUGUAGCGGUGAAAUGCGUAGAUAUAUGGAGGAACACCGGUGGCGAAAGCGGCUCUCUGGCUUGUAACUGACGCUGAGGCUCGAAAGCGUGGGGAGCAAACAGGAUUAGAUAUCCUGGUAGUCCACGCCGUAAACGAUGAGUGCUAGGUGUUAGACCCUUUCCGGGGUUUAGUGCCGUAGCUAACGCAUUAAGCACUCCGCCUGGGGAGUACGACCGCAAGGUUGAAACUCAAAGGAAUUGACGGA